rnacentral:misc_RNA from 1 species
UUUCCGUAGGUGAACCUGCGGAAGGAUCAUUAUAAAUGAAAAACGAAUAACUUCAGGGAAGAAGGGAACCUGCACGGUGACCUCCCCUGUCGGGCCACCCAAUACCUUCAAAAUGCCGCCGUCCUAGCGGUGGCAGACGAAAAAAAAAACAAGAAAAACAAAAUAGAAACAGGCACGGUGGCCCGUUCACCUUCACACAACCCUCCGAGUACCACUUCCAUGUUGCUUCCCCGCAAAUCCACCUCUUUGGUGAGCGCGGGGGAGGUCCGCAUCAAAUUCACCUGAAUGUCACAGCAGUCAGACAGCCAUUCAUGGAAACAAUAAAACUUUCAACAACGGAUCUCUUGGUUCCC